rnacentral:rRNA from 1 species
CAAUAGCGUAUAUUAAAGUUGUUGCAGUUAAAAAGCUCGUAGUUGGAUUUCUGGUUUAGUGCGCUUGACCCGCCGCCGUUAGGCGUGUGAGUGUCGAUGCGCGCUUACCAUCCUUCUAGAGAACGUUUCUGCCCUUUACUGGGCUUUGGGAUGCUCGCAAUCUAGAACUUUACUUUGAAAAAAUUAGAGUGUUUAAAGCAGGCUCGCGCUAUGAAUACACUAGCAUGGAAUAAUAACUUAGGACUUUAGUCUUAUUUUGUUGGUUUCUAGGACUGAAGUAAUGAUUGAUAGGGAUAGUUGGGGGUGCUAGUAUUCAGCGGCCAGAGGUGAAAUUCUUGGAUUCGCUGAAGACUAACUUAUGCGAAAGCAUUUGCCAAGGAUGUCUUCUUUAAUCAAGAACGAAAGUUGGGGGAUUGAAGACGAUUAGAUACCA